GACGAACGCUGGCGGCGUGCUUAACACAUGCAAGUCGAACGGAAAGGCCCUGCUUGUGUGGGGUGCUCGAGUGGCGAACGGGUGAGUAACACGUGAGUAACCUGCCCUUGACUUUGGGAUAACUUCAGGAAACUGGGGCUAAUACCGUAUAGGAGCUCCUGCUGCAUGGUGGGGGUGGGAAAUUUUCGGCGGUUGGGGAUGGACUCGCGGCUGAUCAGCUUGUUGGUGGGGUAGUGGCUUACCAAGGCUUUGACGGGUAGCCGGCCUGAGAGGGUGACCGGCCACAUUGGGACUGAGAUACGGCCCAGACUCCUACGGGAGGCAGCAGUGGGGAAUAUUGCACAAUGGGCGGAAGCCUGAUGCAGCAACGCCGCGUGCGGGAUGACGGCCUUCGGGUUGUAAACCGCUUUCGCCUGUGACGAAGCGUGAGUGACGGUAAUGGGUAAAGAAGCACCGGCUAACUACGUG
rnacentral:rRNA from 1 species